rnacentral:rRNA from 3 species
AGACCCGAAACCCGGUGAUCUAGCCAUGGGCAGGUUGAAGGUUGGGUAACACUAACUGGAGGACCGAACCGACUAAUGUUGAAAAAUUAGCGGAUGACCUGUGGCUGGGGGUGAAAGGCCAAUCAAACCGGGAGAUAGCUGGUUCUCCCCGAAAGCUAUUUAGGUAGCGCCUCGUGAAUUCAUCUCCGGGGGUAGAGCACUGUUUCGGCUAGGGGGCCAUCCCGGCUUACCAACCCGAUGCAAACUGCGAAUACCGGAGAAUGUUAUCACGGGAGACACACGGCGGGUGCUAACGUCCGUCGUGAAGAGGGAAACAACCCAGACCGCCAGCUAAGGUCCCAAAGUCAUGGUUAAGUGGGAAACGAUGUGGGAAGGCCCAGACAGCCAGGAUGUUGGCUUAGAAGCAGCCAUCAUUUAAAGAAAGCGUAAUAGCUCACUGGUCGAGUCGGCCUGCGCGGAAGAUGUAACGGGGCUAAACCAUGCACCGAAGCUGCGGCAGCGAACGUAUCACCCAAGACAACUUUACGGAGUUGACGAUUGACGGAGCGAAGCGACGUCAAAGCGUUCAUUAAAGUCGAGUUGGCUUAGGGAUACGUUCGUUGGGUAGGGGAGCGUUCUGUAAGCCUGUGAAGGUGUGUCGUGAGGCAUGCUGGAGGUAUCAGAAGUGCGAAUGCUGACAUAAGUAACGAUAAAGCGGGUGAAAAGCCCGCUCGCCGGAAGACCAAGGGUUCCUGUCCAACGUUAAUCGGGGCAGGGUGAGUCGACCCCUAAGGCGAGGCCGAAAGGCGUAGUCGAUGGGAAACGGGUUAAUAUUCCCGUACUUGGUGUUACUGCGAAGGGGGGACGGAGAAGGCUAUGUUGGCCGGGCGACGGUUGUCCCGGUUUAAGCGUGUAGGUGUGUGUUCCAGGUAAAUCCGGUUCACUUUAACACUGAGGCGUGACGACGAGGCACUACGGUGCUGAAGCAACAAA